UCAACUUAAUUGCCCAGGGUCACAUAGCCAACAAAUGUGUCUUCCUAAAUUGGUCAUAACACACCAUUGAGUUGGAGGCAGAGGAAUAGACUGUAUAAUGGCUAGAUAGUAGGCUGGUAGGCAUGGUAGGCAGAAGGAUUUGCUUCACCUUCUAAAUUGGUUGUAUUUUUGUUUUGUGACCCUUGGCAAAUUACUUAACCUCUCUGCUUCCCAGGCAUUGUAGGGAAGGUUCCUAUCUGCCUUGGUGGAAGAAGGUCCACACCAGGAGUUCCCGACACUGACCAAACCAUUAGGGAAAAAAGACUGGACUGAUUCUUAUGGCAAGAUAAAGACAGAUCUCACAAGAUGGCAUAUAAGAAUUCAACUUGAGGGAGGGUCCAGCAUUGAUUUGGGUGGGGAGAACUGAGACGACAGGUAACUCCAGUCUCUGCUCUUAUGGUUCUUUUUCAAGAAAUUUAUAUACAACUGAAAUCAAGGAGCAGGGAGUGGCCCACAGAUUCUGAUGGGACCUGCAGGAUCUCCAGCCGGGAAUGCUGUCACACCAAUAAAAGUGAAAAAUGAAAAAUCUCUGUAGCCUAGCAGCAACACUCUGGUAGCAAGGGCAUUUUUGGGUACAGAUCGGAAAGUUCUCACCAUGAGAAACAGUGAGUCAUGAGUGUCAAGGCUGAUGGCCAAUUCUUCUCAUUCACUAUAUUCCCAUUAAGUGAGAGUUUUAUUAAAAAAAAAAUUGUAUUGCUGAAUUACCUAUUUCAUAUUGCAGCCAAAA